GCCGGUAUCGUCUAGUGGUUAGGACACUGCGUUCUCAACGCAGGAACCGGGGUUCGACUCCCCGUACCGGUA
rnacentral:tRNA from 1 species